rnacentral:rRNA from 1 species
AGCAGCCGCGGUAAUUCCAGCUCCAAUAGCGUAUAUUAAAGUUGUUGCAGUUAAAAAGCUCGUAGUUGAACUUCGGGGUUUACCCAUUGGUCAGGCUUAAUUGUCUGUACUGGUGAGAUAAAUCUAUACCUUCUGAGGAACUUUCAUGCCAUUUAGUUGGUGUGAUAGGAAAUCAGGACUGUUACUUUGAAAAAUUAGAGUGUUUAAAGCAGGCUAACGUCUGAAUACAUUAGCAUGGAAUAAUGAAAUAGGACGGAUUGGUUCUAUUUCGUUGGUUUCUAGGUUCACCGUAAUGAUUAAUAGGGAUAGUUGGGGGCAUUAGUAUUCAAUUGUCAGAGGUGAAAUUCUUGGAUUUAUUGAAGACUAACUAUUGCGAAAGCAUUUGCCAAGGAUGUUUUCAUUAAUCAAGAACGAAAGUUAGGGGAUCGAAGACGAUCAGAUACCGUCGUAGUCUUAACCAUAAACUAUGCCGACUAGGGAUCGGACGAAGUUAAUUUUAUAAUGACGC